AUGAUAGCAAUCGUUGAACUAGACACCAAAAAAAUUGUUCCGAAUAGGUUUAUAGACAAAAGAACAUGCCUAAUCCUCAUCGAUGACUUGAUAAAAAAUAUUGUUGAUAGUCAGUCAUAUGAUGAUGAUUUUGUGAGAAGGGUGGUACUGGUUUUUAUGGGUACAGUCUUAGCCCCACAAUCCAGCAAGUUUGUUCCUUAUCGUUAUUACAAAAUGGUGGAGGAUGUCAACGCUAUCAAGUCAUACAAUUGGAACAAUUUCACGUUGCCUGUUAUAUAUACUGGGAAAAACUUGAGCCAAUUGGUUUGGAUGCAUUUGAUCCUUUGUCUCAUGAAUACCCACUAA
rnacentral:rRNA from 1 species